rnacentral:rRNA from 1 species
CCCAAACCAAUAAAGUUUUCUUUAUUGGGGUUGCGGACAUAUCAUAACGAAGAGGUAUCGUAAUUGAAGAGGUUUGGAAAGACCCACCACAGAAGGUAAUAGUCCUGUAUGUUAAACGAGAAGACUUCAGAUAUGAUCCAGAGUACCACGGGACACGUGAAACCCUGUGGGAAGCAGGAGGGACCACCCUCCAAGGCUAAAUACUACCUAGUGACCGAUAGCGUAUAGUACCGUGAGGGAAAGGUGAAAAGAACCCCGGGAGGGGAGUGAAAUAGAACCUGAAACCCUGCACUUACAAGCUGUGGAAGCACAUUUCUUGUGUGACCGCGUACUUUUUGUAGAACGGGCCAACGAGUUACGUUAAGUAGCAAGGUUAAGCACUUAAGGUGCGGAGCCGUAGCGAAAGCGAGUUUUAACUGAGCGUUCAGUUACUUGACGUAGACCCGAAACCGGGCGACCUACCCAUGAGCAGGAUGAAGCGAAAGUAAAAUUUCGUGGAGGUCCGAACCCACGAGCGUUGAAAAGCUCGGGGAUGACUUGUGGGUAGCGGUGAAAUUCCAAUCGAGCCCGGAGAUAGCUGGUUCU